rnacentral:rRNA from 1 species
CAGUCGCCGCGGUAAUACGAAGGGGGCUAGCGUUGCUCGGAAUGACUGGGCGUAAAGGGCGCGUAGGCGGCGAUCAAAGUCAGGCGUGAAAUUCCUGGGCUCAACCUGGGGGCUGCGCUUGAUACUUGGUUGCUUGAGUGGGGAAGAGGGUCGUGGAAUUCCCAGUGUAGAGGUGAAAUUCGUAGAUAUUGGGAAGAACACCGGUGGCGAGGGCGGCAACCUGGUCCUUGACUGACGCUGAGGCGCGAAAGCGUGGGGAGCAAACAGGAUUAGAUACCCCAGUAGUCCCUGUCUCUUAUAC